AACAAACGCUGGCGGCGUGCCUAAUACAUGCAAGUCGAACGGGGUAGCAAUACCUAGUGGCGCACGGGUGAGUAACGCGUGGAUAAUCUGCCUUAGAGUGGGGAUAACUAGUCGAAAGAUUAGCUAAUACCGCAUAAGACCACAAGAACUGCGGUUCAAGGGGUCAAAGGUUUUUCGCUCUAAGAUGAGUCCGCGUAAGAUUAGCUAGUUGGUGAGGUAAUGGCUCACCAAGGCGACGAACUUUAACUGGUCUGAGAGGAUGAUUAGUCACACUGGAAGUGAGACACGGUCCAGACUCCUACGGGAGGCAGCAGUAGGGGAUAUUGCACAAUGGAGGAAACUCUGAUGCAGCGACGCCGCGUGAGUGAUGAAGGCCUUCGGGUCGUAAAGCUCUGUCGCAGGGGAAUAACACAAUGAAUGUACCCUGUAAGAAAGGAUCGGCUAACUUCGUGCCAGCAGCCGCAGUAACAC
rnacentral:rRNA from 1 species